CUCCCAAGAGUUGGGCACGAUAGUUCUACUGGGCUGAGAUUGGUAAGAAGCUGUCCAGUGGAUCCCUGUUUCAAGACAGAUGAUCUGAUCAUUGCAUACAAAAGAAAAACCUUGUAUGCCACACACGGGUCAGCAGAGGUUUAGUCCCUGUCCUUGCUCCGGAUCCAGACCUCUAAAGAUCACAGGUUCAAAAGUCCCUGUGGAAUCCAGGCAGGCUGUCUCUGUUGCAACUUCAAUGUGCCAGAAGGGAGGCUGGAGCUGAGCUGAGCCCAAACCUUGCAACCCCACAGCAAUAAGUACACAUGGACCUCCUCCGCUCUGAUGUGGAUGCCACACCUGCACUGAACACCUGUGUGUCACUGGAGCCUGGGGGAUUUUCCUACAUCAGUAAAUGAGUCCUUGUGAGGAUGCUGAAGGAGCAUGGGAACUGCCCGAGCGAUUGUUGAGACAUGCUGAUGCUGGGAAAAAGAAUGAUGCUGACUGUGUAUGAGCUUGCCAAAUCCCCUGACAAUGGUGAUAGGGAAGCUAUAUUAGACGUAUGUCCCUGACCCACCUUUACCUGCCCAUAUCCAUGACUGGACAACCUGCCUCAAGCUUUCAGACCUUUUGGACAGAGAACAUGAGACUGUAGAAACUGCCUUCAAAAAGUUAAUCGAAUAGAGAAGUUAUAAUGACCCCCUCUCUUUCCUUUAAUGUGACCAGUUAUUCUGACUCAAUCACGGCCUAGUCUGGAAAUCAAUUCCAUAUUUGGGGAAAAAAAAGUAACAGUCUUCAUUUGGAAGGCUUUUUCUGAUCAUUUGCAAAGACAUAUUUGAAAACUGACAGCUGCCUUGUAUGAAGUGACAUUUGUAGUAGAUAAAAUUGGGACAUUAUCUUGAUUUUGAGCAAAUAUUACUGGGUGUGUUAAGGCUCCUAAUUCU
rnacentral:lncRNA from 1 species